AAAGCAGACCGGAUAAUCGCUGGUAUGAAGUAUGCCUACCAGAGGAAAGUCCGAGCUCCAGAGGGCAGGGUGCUGGGUAACACCCAGGCGGAGCGAUCCGACAGAGAGUGCCACAGAAAAUAUACAGCCAAUGGCCUCUGUGAGGCACAGGCAAUGGUGAAAUGGCGGGGUAAGAGCCCACCGCAAUUCUGGUGACAGGAUUGGCAGGGUAAACCUCACCUGGAGCAAGAUCGAAUAGGAAAGCAUUUGAGAGUGGCCCACUCGACGCUUUCGGGUUGAUCGCUAGAGGUGUUCGGUAACGGACAUCCCAGAUGAAUGAUUAUCCUUUCGGUAACGGAAGACAGAACUCGGCUUACAGGUUUGCUUUCGCA
rnacentral:RNase_P_RNA from 1 species